rnacentral:lncRNA from 1 species
CUUCUUUGGAUUUUGGAGUAUCGCUUCCUGCCCCCGCCUUCCCUCCCCGCCCCAUUCUCUGUCCUAUUGAACACCUCGCCCAGCCUAGAGCUCACAUUCUCCCCCUGCUCCCGAUGGCGCUCCUGGAAGCUCUGCAACUAUGCUCCACUUCAAAUGGACCCAUAACUGGUGUUACACCCCCACUCCCUGCCACCACAAAUACUGAGUCCAUUCCAGGAAUAGAAACCGCCGAAGGAUUACAUUCUCCACGGAGAACGAUCUCUAUGAAGUAGCACACUAAGAGAUUUUCCAUGGCGGGAGCUCGGCACUCCUGGAGUGGGGUUUACUUUGUUCAGGCGUUGUGUUGGUAUUUGAGGAGACUGGCUACAACUCCACAAGGCGGUUGCUGAGGAUGGAGCCUCUGUGUAUCUCAGAAGACUGCAGUUCUUACUGCUAGGAGACUGCAUGGCUAGUUCCCUCUGAGUUAAGCUUCUAUUUUUGAAGCCCAGAUGCAAUAAGGAGGUGCCUAUGAUAGACACAGAAUACAAACCCCACACAGCUUAAAGCUGGCAGAUGUCUUCUGCAAAACGAUGCCACACCUUGACCCUGAAUGAGGAAGAAGGCAGGGAUCCAUAGGAUUAUCCGGAGUGGAAAACAUGGCUUCCACUUCUAAUUUGUUUUUUAAAAACGGAAUCAUACCUAUGAAUUUCUUAAUAAAAUAUCUUUCUUGUAAAA